rnacentral:rRNA from 1 species
CUACGGGCGGCAGCAGUGAGGAAUAUUGCACAAUGGGGGGAACCCUGAUGCAGCAACGCCGCGUGGAGGAUGACGCAUUUCGGUGUGUAAACUCCUUUUAUAUGUCAAGAAAAUGACGGUAGCAUAUGAAUAAACACCGGCUAACUCCGUGCCAGCAGCCGCGGUAAUAGGGAGGGUGCAAGCGUUACUCGGAAUCACUGGGCGUAAAGGACGCGUAGGCGGGUUGGAAAGUCAGGAUGUGAAAUCCUACAGCUUAACUGUAGAACUGCACUUGAAACUUCUAAUCUAGAGUAUGGGAGGGGGAGACGGAAUUAGUGGUGUAGGGGUAAAAUCCGUAGAUAUCACUAGGAAUACCUAAAGCGAAGGCGAUCUCCUGGAACAUUACUGACGCUAAGGCGUGAAAGCGUGGGGAGCAAACAGGAUUAGAUACCCCGGUAGUC